rnacentral:misc_RNA from 1 species
AAAGUCGUAACAAGGUUUCCGUAGGUGAACCUGCGGAAGGAUCAUUAACACGCUUUGAUUGCAUUUAUAUACAAAUAACCAACGUGAACAUUUCUCCUCCCUUAGAGAAUAUUUUAUUCUCUAAGGCUAACUGUUGAACAACAUUUUUAACGUCUUCAACUUAACUUGGGAUGCGUUGUGCUUAACAGCCGCGUACACCACUGAACUAAUGAGAGAUUUAUUUGUGCCUUUAGUUGCAUCAAGUAAAUGAUUUCUUGAAUUUAUUAAUUUACGAAACACAUAUUGAACAACUCUUAACAAUGGAUAUCUUGGUUCUC